UACGUAGGGGGCUAGCGUUGUCCGGAUUUAUUGGGCGUAAAGAGCUCGUAGGCGGUUUGUCGCGUCUGCUGUGAAAACCUAAGGCUCAACCUUGGGCUUGCAGUGGGUACGGGCAGACUAGAGUGCGGUAGGGGUGACUGGAAUUCCUGGUGUAGCGGUGGAAUGCGCAGAUAUCAGGAGGAACACCGAUGGGGAAGGCAGGGCACUGGGCCGCAACUGACGCUGAGGAGCGAAAGCGUGGGGAGCAAACAGG
rnacentral:rRNA from 1 species